CGGUGAAUUACUGGGCAUUUACUCCUUUGGCAAUGAAUACAAUAUAAGCUCAUUGCCAAAGGAUAUUUGCCCAGCUAUUCACCG
rfam:Eucalyptus grandis cultivar BRASTZ1 unplaced genomic scaffold scaffold_5, whole genome shotgun sequence.